CUUAAAUUGAGCUGAGGAUAUUUUUUUCCUUCCCUCUCUCUCUCCCUCUCUCCCUCUCUCUCUCUUUCGCAUUCUCUCUCUCCGCUAUUAGCAGCCACACGGACCCAGUGCGUGGACUGGCAUCGCACCGGGAGGAAUUCGUAUUUGGCCAGGAAUCCGGACUCGGAGCAUCCCAGGAGGCGCGGGUCAGGGGAUCCAGAGCCACCCCGGAAAAUGCUGCCGCUCCCUACCAGCUGCCAGGGCCUCGGAGGCCUUCCCGGUGUCUGGAGAAGUGACCGGGAAACUUUGGGGGAAACUUUGCCAACUUCGCUCUCUUGCACGGGAGAGGCCGCCCACCGGAAUGGCCGCAGCGGCAGCGGGUCGCGAAGCGCCGGGUGGGCCCCGGGCCAGGCCUACGCUCUCCCCAGCGGCCAGGCCGCCCAAAGAGAGGAGGGAGGCCGGCCACCGGGUCUCCUGCGGCUCUGCUCCGCCCCCGAGCCACCCGACCGGCCCACUCCCCUGGGUCUCGGCGAGGCCCGCGAUGUGCAGCGCCCCAGACGAUGGCCGAUGGCCUAGAUCGAAAACCCCGGACCUUAGCGUGAAUAAUUUUAUUUUUCUUUCCCUCUUCAGGAUCGACUGUUUUCCCACCUGCAGUUUCGCUUCCCUCCCUUCCUUUGUGUUCCUCCGUCUCUCGCACUGUCUGGAUAUUUGAUUUCUAGGUCAUUCUUUUGGUCUUUCUUCGGCUCCCUAAUUUGUUCGGUUUUAUACUUUUUCUCAGGGCCACUUAGUUGGCCUCUCUCCAUCCGGCUCCGGCUCUCUCCUCUUUUGUCCCUGCUUCCCUCUCCUGGUGAUGGUGUCCCCCCCACACCUGCGUUUGACCAUCUUUCUUUUCUCCGUCUUUCACCCUAACCCUCCCCUAGUUCCUUCCUCAAUUUCUCGGUCCCUGUCGGGUUCUCCUCUCGGUGUCUGUCCCUUCUUCUCUCCCUCUCCAGGAUCUGUCCCCUCCUUUCUCCUCCUCUCAGCGGCUGCCUCCCUGGCGCCCCCUCCUCGUCUUCUCGGGAGAUGAAUAUGUCGCCUUAUUGGAUACCGAGGCCAGAGCCGGGUGACGGGGCUCGGUGAGAAUCGCGCAUUUUCUUCCUGCAUAUUGAGGCUAUGGUAAUGAGCACGUUUGCAUUGUUGCGUGGCGCUGCUUUUCCUGCCGCAGUUUGGAGUGGGCGAGGGUGGUGCGGACCCCAAAGAGCCCCGCUGUGGGUACCGGCCCUGGCGGCGGCAGCUGUCCCCUGGCGCUCGGGGCCCUGGGGAGGAAGUGACCUCGCCGAGCGCGGGGCCCGGCCUUCGCCGGCUUGGCCACAAAGGCGGGCCCUGCUCCCCUCAUUAUAGCCUCGUUAUGGGAACCCCCGCCUGGCUCGCCGUGGCUCCUCCGCGCUCUCCGCCCAGCGGCCUCUGAGCCCCUCCCCUGGCGUUUAGAGGCCUGUGAUGGAGCGCCACCGGGAAAUUAGCGCCUGACAACGUCGUCUAUUGGCAAUAAAUUGUUUGCAAUUCCGGGUGACACAUCGCGGGAUCAAACACAGCCUCAACCUGUAGGUGCUCCGCUCGUUCCUCUUCUUAGAGGGCGCAUUGGCGUGGCUUGACCAGGGAUGGUGCUCCCAGGACCCUUCUGGGGUCGGGAGCCGGUUCCAUUCUGGGCUUCUCCCCAACAGAGCCAGACUCGGUCUCCAAGAGCAGAGGUCCUUCCCUGAGGUUGGCCGAACUCGGGACCCUUGACCCAGGUGCACCUCCCAAAGUGAAGGUUUAUCAGAGCCAAGGCGCAAACUGAGCUGAGACCAAGGGAACCGACGUGAGUUGCUGAGAAAAUCCGAAGCUAAGAGCCUGGUUCUAGACACUGUCGCGCAGAGGACCCUGGACAGGAAGCGUUUGCUCUAACCCCGUGUUCCUUCCUGCUCCCUGUCAGGGGAGUCAGAGUUCCCGGUUCCAAAGAAAAACCGUAAAGGUCUGACCUUGCCUGGAAUUGCCUGAGGUCAAGUUUCCCCAACUUCAAAUUUUUGCUACCACCUCUACUCUAUUGACUUAACAUUUUUCCUUAAAUCAGGUCAUUUUAAAAACUCAAAUAUGUAUUUUUUGGAUGAAGAGUUGAUACUACUAUUGGUAUGACUGUAAAAAAAAUUAAAAUAAUAAAAGGAGCUGUUAGUCACCAGAAAAGGAAAUUGUAGAAGAUAAAGAGCUAAAAAUCAAGCACUAUUCAUACAUUUUGCCCAGACUUGCUUGGGAAAGACUUCUAGGGGUUCAAGAGCAUGUAUGUAUCAUUAGCAAGUGCUGAGGUGUAAAAUAGUGAAUCUUUCUAGGAAGAAACGAGAACAUUGAAAAGGGGAUACUUCUUACCCUUCAGUACUCAUUUAAUUCUCUGCCCUCACUAUCUCAAGUCAUAUUGGGGUUCCCAAGAGCAGCCCUGCUUUGGGAUUUGCCUGUAUUAUUCUGUUGAAGAUUGUGUAAAUAAAUUAAGAUUAAAGCAUAACAUACUGAGUUAUUAUUAU
rnacentral:lncRNA from 1 species